UGGGUGCAACCCUAAAAGAAAGAAAGAAGAAAAGAAAUAAAGAAAGAAAGAAGGAAGGAAGGAAAAAAGGCAAGAAAGAAAGAAAGAAAAGAAAGAAGAUUUUUUCAUUCCUAUAACAGUUGCUUCUUCAGUGACUCUUUUCAGUGACCAGAAGACUUUACCUAACCUGGUGGAAGUUUUCACGCUAUAGAGAAGGGAAAGACAGAGAAAUUUGAACUUCGGUGGGAUCUGACAUGUGGAGUUAUCUGUGGCUGAGAUGGGAGCGGGGGAUCACAGGGCAAGCCCCCAAGAGUCGCAUCGAGGAGCAACCCUGCCUGGGAGCCAGCAUGGAAACAGGGACCUCAGUUCUACGAUUACAAGGAACUGAAUCCUGCCAACAACCUGAAUGGGCUUGGAAGCAGAUCCCUCCCCAGAGCCUUCAAGUAAGCACCUGCCUGGCUGACAUCCUGCUUUCAGCCUUAUGAGACCCCAAGCAGAGCACUCGGAUGAGUCUGCCUGGACUUCUGAACUACACAACUACAACUUAGUAAACAGGCAUUGCUUUAAGAAACAAUUUUUGGUAACUUGUUACACAGCAAUAGAAAACUAAUACACACGCUUUCUUUC